GAUGAACGCUGGCAGCGUGCCUAAUACAUGCAAGUCGAGCGAACAGACGAGGAGCUUGCUCCUCUGACGUUAGCGGCGGACGGGUGAGUAACACGUGGAUAACCUACCUAUAAGACCGGGAUAACUUCGGGAAACCGGAGCUAAUACCGGAUAAUAUAUUGAACCGCAUGGUUCAAUAGUGAAAGACGGUUUUGCUGUCACUUAUAGAUGGAUCCGCGCCGCAUUAGCUAGUUGGUAAGGUAACGGCUUACCAAGGCAACGAUGCGUAGCCGACCUGAGAGGGUGAUCGGCCACACUGGAACUGAGACACGGUCCAGACUCCUACGGGAGGCAGCAGUAGGGAAUCUUCCGCAAAGGGCGAAAGCCUGACGGAGCAACGCCGCGUGAGUGAUGAAGGUCUUCGGAUCGUAAAACUCUGUUAUUAGGGAAGAACAAAUGUGUAAGUAACUAUGCACGUCUUGACGGUACCUAAUCAGAAAGCCACGGCUAACUACGUG
rnacentral:rRNA from 1 species